GCUGUUCUAAGUUUGCGUAACUUCACCUUUCUUAUCAAAAGUCUCAGAGAAAAGAAAAGGAGGAACUAUCAGACUCAUUCUUUAGUGACACACAAGAAGAGAAAGUCACAGAAGAUGACUCUUCUUUCGACCCAGCAAUUUAGGAUGGUUGAUAUACAAAGUUUUGUCACGUUUUUAUUCCGUUAUGCCCUGAUCAUUGCAAGAGAUUGAUGAUAUUAUUUUCCCAUUUGUGCGAGCUUUAAAGUUAUUUGCAAUAGUUUUAAAGGCCUGUUUCUAUUUUAAGACUUUUUGUCAAUUUUAGAACAUUAAAGUAUACCUUAUGAAUGGUG